rnacentral:rRNA from 1 species
AGCAUAUUCAUUUGACGUUAGCUGCAGAAGAAAGCACCGGCUAACUCCGUGCCAGCAGCCGCGGUAAUACGGAGGGUGCGAGCGUUAAUCGGAAUUACUGGGCGUAAAGACGCAUGCAGGUGGUUUGUUAAGUCAGAUGUGAAAGACCCGGGGCGUCAACCUCGGAAUUGCAUUUGAAACUAGGCAAACUAGAGUACUGUAGAGGGGGGUAGGAAGUUUCAGGUGUAGCGGUGAAAUGCGUAGAGAUCUGAAGGAAUACCGGUGGCGAAGGCGGCCCCCUCGGACAGAUACUGACACUCAGAUGCGAAAGCGUGGGGAGCAAACAGGAUUAGAUACCCUGGUAG